rnacentral:rRNA from 1 species
UACGGGGGGAGCAAGCGUUGUUCGGAUUUACUGGGCGUAAAGGGCGCGUAGGCGGCCACCGCAAGUCGAUUGUGAAAUCUCCGGGCUUAACCCGGAAAGGUCAACCGAUACUGCGGGGCUAGAGUGCAGAAGGGGCAACUGGAAUUCUCGGUGUAGCGGUGAAAUGCGUAGAUAUCGAGAGGAACACCUGCGGCGAAGGCGGGUUGCUGGGCUGACACUGACGCUGAAGUGCGAAAGCUAGGGGAGCGAACAGG